AUUGAACGCUGGCGGCAUGCUUUACACAUGCAAGUCGAACGGCAGCGGGGAGGAGCUUGCUUCUCUGCCGGCGAGUGGCGAAAGGGUGAGUAAUACAUCGGAACGUGUCGAGAAGAGGGGGAUAACCACCCGAAAGGGUGGCUAAUACCGCAUAAAGUCUGAGGAAGAAAGCUGGGGACCUAGGAAUAGGCCUAGCGCUUUUUGAUCGGACGAUGUCGGAUUAGCUAGUUGGUGAGGUAAAGGCUCACCAAGGCGAAGAUCUGUAGCGGGUCUGAGAGGAUGAUCCGCCACACUGGGACUGAGACACGGCCCAGACUCCUACGGGAGGCAGCAGUGGGGAAUUUUGGACAAAGGGGGCAACCCUGAUCCAGCCAUGCCGCGUGUAUGAAGAAGGUCUUAGGGUUGUAAAGUACUUUUGUUAGGGAAGAAAAGUCAGAUGUGAAUAACGGCUGAUACUGACGUUACCUACAGAAUAAGCACCGGCUAACUACGUG
rnacentral:rRNA from 1 species